CCGGGAAACGUCGUGCAAAGACGGAGGGCUCAACUGGAAUCUCUCAGGAGCACCCCAGAAAGCAGGGCGCCCUGACCUCAGACAGCCCUGAGGUGGUGGCCACAGAGGAGCUGAACACCCAUACCCCCACACCACCACCCACAGCGGAUGUGGGCCGAACCAGCGCCCCAGGGCACGACCUGCUACCUGUGAAAGUGUCCAGUGUCCCAGUCAAGAAGUGGUACCAGAUUGACUUCAGCCCUGCUGCUUUCUGCAAGAGGGUUUUCCAGUCCGUAUACUCUGAGCCUUCGACACGGUCUGACUCCAGCGCAAAGAAACCACAUAUCAGCGACAGAAGGGUGGCAGCUGUAGAAACAGAGAGGGAAACAUGUG